rnacentral:lncRNA from 1 species
GCUGGGGCCUCGGGCGGGGUGCACCGCUGUCCUUUCGCCGCCGUCCGGGCGGCACUGCACGUGCAGCGCGCGGUCCCCCACCCAGCGCAGCCCGCAACACCCCUGGUCUGCCGCAGGAGACCCUGCCGAUGCCACUCAGGGUCAAGACUCUGGCGCGGUGGAAACUGCAGAGCAAAAGGAAACACAGACAAAAACAGUGAGAAGGGAGAGAGAGCAUGUGGGGCUUUGCCAGAGAGGAACUUGGAUGGCAAUCACCUAAGAACUCCAAACUCAGUGCCAGGGCAGACUGGUGUCUAUUUUGCAAUGUCUUCCAGUAGUUGAUAACUUUCUACUUUUAAAAUAAUUGGAAGAAUGUAAGCUCUCAACUAGUCCACUAGUCCCGAAACAAUAGAUACCAGCUGGCAGAGAUAAUAGCUGUCUGGAAGAGAGAGAUACAUACCACAUCAAAAAACAACAAAAAAAGGAUGGCUCAAGUACUCAAAAGGCAGCACUAAAAUAAGGCUAUGUCUCUUCCUGAGAAUACUCUGGACUUCAUUCUCUGAUUAAAGAUCACAACUGCUUCUUCGUUGAGGAAAUCAUGUAUUUCAAAGCCACCAAUGAACAAGGUAAUGGGAUGUAUUGGUCCAGCACUGAUAACAGGUUAUCCUACAAUCAAGUAUACUCUUUCCAGAAAGCUGAGUUAGGUAUGCAACUGCCUUUCUAAGCCAUGACUACAUUGCUAAAUGAAUCAUUGAUUUGGAAAAUCUGAAGUGACCUUCAGCUUGUUCUCCAGCUCUUCCUCAACAGAAAAGAGAGGCAAAAUCAGCAAAAUAUUGGAAAGAGAUUUUAACCUGAAUGGAAAAGACAAUAUGAGGGUGAUGAAAGACUCUAGAUGGUCCGUCUUGGCAUCUGCUCAAUGAAGGAGAAUCGCAGAUAUGUGAACUCCUCCUGCUUCUGCUGUUUGUAGGAAGAGGCAGACUUGAAACCCUGCAUUGUCUGUGGCCUAAACAUUGCACAGAUGAUCAAUUUGUGAAAUAAGGGAUUUUUUAUUUGUAUUUGCCUAAAUAGAGAAACGCUAAUGGUGUGUUCCAUCAAUUAAAGAGAAAAGAAAUAAAUCUACCAAUACUACUGCAUUUGUUCAUUCAUAAAUUCAUUCAUUCAUUCCUCAUUCAUUCAUAUGCUAGAUCUUUGUAAUAAAAAAUUGAAAAAAAAUUAAACUCUUCAUUAUAAGUCUCAUCCUAGGAAGACAGACAAGUACACAUAUGAUAAGACAAGAAAAUUAAACUUUCUCAAGUGUUAAAGAGCAAGCACCAUCAUAUGUGUUUUUUAAUAUCACAUUGCGUUUAAUCUAAAUGCGCUAAGGAAACACAGGGCCAACCAGGGAGCUUGAUGUAAGUUUUUUGAUAAAUCUUAAUAGUGAAGAAUGGGGUGUAGAUUGUUAGAAAAAGACAAAUCCAUGGGGAUUUGAAUGUUAUUCGUACUGUUUUGAGUGGACAUAAGACAGUCCUGUGUAACUAGAGAAUAAAGUACGUUUAGCACCGUGAUGGGAGAAGAGAUGAGAAAGAUAAGCUGGAUCAAAUGACUUAAAGGACUUGAAAUCCAUCUUAAAAUAAAGGCUUCUACGAUAAAAAAAAAGGUAACUAAAAUCAAAGUGCCAAAAGGAAUAAGAAAAAGGUAAGUGAAAUCAAAGUUUUCUAUUAUAGAAGGAAAAUGAGUUGUUAUUUAUAAUGAAAAAUUGGAGAAGACAGAAACUGGUUAGGGAGUGGUUGACAUACCCCAUAACAUGAGGAUCUGAGGGCCAAGGUAUUAUGGAGAAUGGAAUUAUGGAGGAUAGGGCGAGACAAGAGACAUUUCAGAGAAAAAAAGCUGUGCUCCACAACCAGCUGUACUAGAACUUGCUAUUGUUCUCUGACGCCAAACCCUCCAUUGGGGUAAGCUAUGUUCAAUCACCUUCAUCUCGUAAGUGUUCAAGUGGGCUUUGCAGGAAAAUUGGUAUCUACUACUUCAGGAGGGAGACUCUUUAACCCAGAAGAAGGCAAAAAAAAAGUUUGAGCUGCCAAGUCUUAUUUGUGUUUAAUGUAUUUUAUCGAAUUAUCUUGAAGACUCAGUUCUUAGUUCUGUGUCAUAAAUAUGAACACUAUAUUUCCUCCAUUUGGGAAUUUUCAGUACUUUCCUUAAAAGGAGGCUAGCAAAAUGUAGUUUUUCUACAAACUCACUUACAUGGGUUGAAAGAGGAGUUUAUUUCCUAAGAUGUACUAUCUUGAAUAUUUAUUUUAGAUAAUUAUUUAUGCUUACAG